GUCUUCUGGAAUGGGCAGGUGUGGGGGGAGCCAGGAUGAGGAGGACGAUGGCUGUGAAGUUGGUUCCGUCCUUCUGGGGGAAGCCAAGGGGCUGAGAACAGCAGGGGUAAGGAACAGAGGGACAGAGGGAGAGAGUAGUCAUGAGUCUUAGCUCCCGUUUCCCCCGAGGCCUGGCAGGUCCCACCUCCUGGGCCUGAAUUACUCAAUCCAGAAAAUCCCCCUUUUGGCCCAGGCUGGUUUGAAAUAGCUUUAUGCCCUCAACAAUCAAAAAAGUCCUGACUCAUACAUCCAUUAGUGUUUUUUCCCCCCAAAAAAGCAGACUUCCUCCAAAGGUGAAUUCAGACGUCUGGCUCCAGGAAUGCAGAAGCAUUUGUUCAAGAUUUAACAGACUGUGGAUCUCGAUGACCCGACUGUUCGCAGAAGCGCAGUCUUUCCGAGAGCCCCUGCGAGAGUCUUUUCGGGAAGGCCGUGUCAAGAAGCCACGAGGACGUGCCACCACAGGACGUGACGUGCCCAGUGGAAACAUGCAACAGACAUCAGUGGAGGAAGUCACGUCUCUGGAGUGAUGACGGUUAUGGGAACACGUGGAAAUGGUUCUAGAAAGCAGGAGGCAACUCUGCCUGCCUCCAGAGACAGGCUUGUGCCAAUCAGCAUGGGCCUGGAGGCAGAGGCAAGACUCUCCGAGGCAGAGGAAGGUGGCUGCAGUGUGAAUCAAAGAGGCCAUUUCUCUGCUCUGAGUUUGGAAGCAGCCUUAAAAUCUCAUAGCAAGACGCUAGUCUUGCAAGUCAGACUUUUCAGAGAGAGAAAGGGUUUUCUUAAAACUCCCAAGGCUGGAGUUUUCACACAUCAAAAGAUCAAAGCUCAGAAAAGUUGGGCGAUCGUUUGGUGAAUCAUAGAGGAGGGCAGAAUGCAGAUAGGACGAAAGGGAAGUUUCUACCUCACAGGAAGAAGAACAGGUAUCUUGUGACUUGGGGAAAGAAAUGAGAAAUCGGGCAAGAAAAGGCAAGUGGGGUCAAGUUCUGAGUGUGCUGGUUCCCCCCACUCUACCCAUUGGGAUCAAACCCCAGUAGGGAAGGGAAGGUAGAAACACCCAGUAGUUUUAAGCACUCUGAGAACAUCAGGGCUUGUGCCCCCCAGUCCCUGAGUGUAGCCUAAGGAGUCUUCUCUUUCAGAGGAGCCCUGGGGUCAGCCUGACAUUGAAUCCAUCAUGGCGCCCAAGUCAUGGAGUAGAAAUGGUUGAGAGAGGUGCUUGGAAUGCUGGGUGUGAGAUUAGAAUCCCUGGUUCAUGACAUACGGUCCAGCACGAAAUGUGGAGGAUGUCCAGAAGUUCCUGUGUGCCACAGGAAGACCCAAAAAGUAGCUGGGGUGCUACCUGGUGAGUUCACUAGGUUGUCACUAUGGCAAAUGGCAGAGUGACCAAAGCUGAAGGAUGGACUUCUCAAACUGGGGAUCAAAUGGGGAUCAGGCCUCGGGGAAGCAGAAGCCUCAGGGAGAACCAGGUAAGACCACGGCCGCCGGCCAGAGCCUCCAACCUGCAAGCAUCAUAUAACUGAGUCAGGGGAUCUGAAAAUAAGGAACUUUCCCUUGCAAGAAGUCGCCAUCUUGGAAUGGCGAAAGGAAAAACUUUGUAGUUAUGGAGAAACCCAAAGAUGAAGUAAUUAUCCAAAAGGAGAUGAUUUUACACCAGGAGACUCUGAGAUACCAUAAUGGCAAGAACAAGAAUCUUUUGCCUGCGGUGAUACGGGGCCUCUGGAGCUGAUUUGGAUUUUGUUGGCAGUCACAUUACGUGCACUUGGGCAAACUCCACCUCCACAAGAUACUCAUGACUUCUUUAGUAACAGACUUCAUUUUUUUCCAGUUAUAAUGGUGAUAGGGUCCUAUUUUAGAGAGUUUGGGGAACAACACUGUAAAGAAGAAGAAAAUAAAUCUCAACCCGUCAUGUCACAGAAUAGAGAUAACCACUGCUACCGUCUUGGUUUAUUUCCUUCCUGUCGGUUUCUAUGUGUGUUGUGUGUGUGCGUUAUUGUGACUGCACAUUUGUACAUCUUGUAUGUGGACAGGAUUCUUUAACGCAUGAGGCGCUUUUGCUUGUGGGAAGGAAUACCCACUACUUUGUUACUUUAUUAUCUUCAAACCAUGAACAAUUCCAAAUGUCCGCAGUCGUCAUUACCACUGACAUGGAAAUGUAAGAAAUUAACAAAUUUGAUUUCCCCCAAUGCUUAAACGUUGAAGUAUGACCAAUUACACUUCCCUAGACAUUUGAUGACAAAUCUCCAAUACAUCAAAUGAGCUCGUGUGCUUUUAAGUGCCUUAAAAUGGGGACAGAACAUGACCACAAUUUGACAAGGAUUUCUGUAUGGAACGGUGCUUAUACUCACACACUUAACAAAGGUGCCAAGACCAUGGAUUUAUAGCCUCUCUUCAUCAUCAUCUUCUUCCCGUGUUUAUCUCUCCCCAGGGGCACAACUUUCCUUCCCUCAGCCUACAGAGCUGGGUGACUGUGAUGGGACAAAGGACAAUGGGUCAGGAACUUUUCAGAUUACUGAUGCGGACAGCUCUGUUAUGGUUUGAUUUAUUGUAGACCUUGUCUUUGCCCCCAGAAUGACACUUGCUCUGGUAUUUUUCACUCCGUAGCCUGACCUGUUAUGAUCCUGUUUUGCAACUGUCCAGGGGAAGGGUGGUUGGUAGGGGGUGUUGCUGGCCUGAUUUAGAUAAAAAUCUGUCACACUGGGAGCGCCUGGGUGGCUCAGUCGGUUGGGCGACCGACUCGGGCU